GAUGAACGCUGGCGGCGUGCUUAAUACAUGCAAGUCGAACGGAGAGCAAGCAAUUGUUCUUAGUGGCGAACGGGUGAGUAACGCGUUGGUGACCUGUCCCGAAGAUGGGGAUAACAGUUCGAAAGGACUGCUAAUACCCGAUGUGGUUAUCGAGGUUAGAGGCUUGGUAACUGAAGGAGCAAUCCGCUUUGGGAGGGGCCUGCGUCCCAUCAGCUAGUUGGUAGGGUAAAAGCCUACCAAGGCGAAGACGGGUAGGGGACCUGAGAGGGUGAUCCCCCA
rnacentral:rRNA from 1 species